rnacentral:rRNA from 1 species
UAGGGAAUCUUCCACAAUGGGCGAAAGCCUGAUGGAGCAACGCCGCGUGUGUGAUGAAGGGUUUCGGCUACGUAAAACACUGUUGUAAGAGAAGAAUGACAUUGAGAGUAACUGUUCAAUGUGUGACGGUAUCUUACCAGAAAGGAACGGCUAAAUACGUGCCUG